GGGCACCACCAGGAGUGGAGCCUGCGGCUUAAUUUGACUCAACACGGGAAAACUCACCCGGCCCGGACACUAGGAGGAUUGACAGACUGACUAGCUCUUUCUUGAUUCAGUGGGUGGUGGUGCAUGGCCGUUCUUAGUUGGUGGAGCGAUUUGUCUGGUUAAUUCCGAUAACGAACGAGACUCUAGCCUACUAAAUAGAUCGUCGGCUUACAAACGCUGAUGAGACUUCCUAGAGGGACAGGCGGCGAUUCAGCCGCACGAAACAGAGCAAUAACAGGUCUGUGAUGCCCUUAGAUGUCCGGGGCCGCACGCGCGCUACACUGAAGUGAUCAGCGUGCAUUUUCAGCCUACUCUGCCAAGAGUGGGAAACCCAAUGAACCUUCCUCGUGAUUGGGAUAGGAGAUUGUAAUUAUUCUCCUUGAACGAGGAAUUCCCAGUAAGCGCGAGUCAUAAGCUCGCGUUGAUUACGUCCCUGCCCUUUGUACACACCGCCCGUCGCUACUACCGAUUGAAUGUUUU
rnacentral:rRNA from 1 species